UGGGCUCAUAAGGGCUCCUCCAGCGCAAGCCCAAACCCGGGCAAAUGGCAGCCCCAGGCCCCAAACCCCCCUCCAGCGCGCAAGGUCCAGCCCAGACAAGCGCACAGGCAAGAAUUGACUGGGCUGUUGUUAGAGAGUCAUGGACAAACGUUGGAAGAGGUCAAAAUCUUGGCGACGAGAUUAUUCAAGGCAAACAAAAAAUAGGAAAAUCAUUAUACAUGGCUUCUCAAGUGAACAAUGUCCGCAGUCGGUUCCAGUGGUGC